rnacentral:sRNA from 1 species
AACUCAGCGUACUCAGUUGUCCCGUCUUCAGUCUUAUGAAGUUGCAACACCAAUGGCCUCCUUGUAACGAU